rnacentral:rRNA from 1 species
CUUAUGUAGCGGCGAGUGAGCGGCAAUAGCUCAAAUUUGAAAUCUGGCGCCUUCGGUGUCCGAGUUGUAAUUUGAAGAAGGUAUCUUUGGUUUUGGCUCUUGUCUAUGUUCCUUGGAACAGGACGUCACAGAGGGUGAGAAUCCCGUGCGAUGAGAUGCCCAAUUCCAUGUAAAGUUCCUUCGACGAGUCGAGUUGUUUGGGAAUGCAGCUCUAAGUGGGUGGUAAAUUCCAUCUAAAGCUAAAUAUUGGCGAGAGACCGAUAGCGAACAAGUACUGUGAAGGAAAGAUGAAAAGAACUUUGAAAAGAGAGUGAAAAAGUACGUGAAAUUGUUGAAAGGGAAGGGCUUGAGAUUAGACUUGGAAUUUUCCAAUAUAUUGGAGCUUUCCGGGCCAGCAUCAGUUUGGAUGGCAGGAUAAUUGCGUAGGAAAGUAACUCGACUUCGGUUGAGUAUUAUAGACUGCGUCGAUACUGCCUAUCUAGACUGAGGACCGCGUCUUUGACUAGGAUGCUGGCGUAAUGAUCUUAAGCCGCCCGUCUUGAAACACGGACC